rnacentral:sRNA from 1 species
GAGUUCAAUCGAAUACGAGUGAUGACG